UGACAGACUUUUUCGUCUUAGAAUUACGGUAGGAACCGCUAGGAACCACUAAAAACACAACAACCUCGCCAUCCUCUCCACCUGACGGACAGACACUUCCUCGUCUUAGAAUUAUGGUGAGAACCGCUAAAAAUAACUUUACC